GACGAACGCUGGCGGCGUGCCUAAUACAUGCAAGUCGAACGCAGUGGGGACGGGUUAGUAACACGUGGGUAACCUCCCAUCAGAGGGGAUAACACUUGGAAACAGGUGCUAAACCGAUACUGAUGGAUGGACCCGCGGUGCAUUAGCUAGUUGGUGAGGUAACGGCUCACCAAGGCCACGAUGCAUAGCCGGGUUGAAGGGGAGAUCGACCCCACCGGGACUGAGGACAGGCCCAAGCUCCGACGGGAGGGAGCAGUAGGGAAUCUUUGGCCAUGGACGGAAGUCUGACCGAGCAACGCCGCGUGAGUGAAAGAGGUUGUCGGGUCUUAAAGCUCUUUUGUUAAGGAAGCGGUACUUAACCAGAAAGGGACGGCUAACUACGUGCCAGCAGCCGCGGUAAUUC
rnacentral:rRNA from 1 species